CGGAGAGUUUGAUCCUGGCUCAGAACGAACGCUGGCGGCGUGCCUAACACAUGCAAGUCGAGCGAGAAAGUCCCCGCAAGGGGAUGAGUAAAGCGGCGAACGGGUGAGUAACACGUGGGCAACCUGCCCUUCAGUCAGGAAUAACCCCGCGAAAGCGGGGCUAAUACCGGAUGACGUCCUUUGGGGGCAUCUUCGGGGGACCAAAGGGGGCGAGCGAAAGCGGCUCCCGCUGAAGGAUGGGCCUGCGGCUGAUUAGCUAGUUGGUGGGGUAGCGGCCUACCAAGGCGACGAUCAGUAGCCGACCUGAGAGGGUGACCGGCCACACUGGGACUGAGACACGGCCCAGACUCCUACGGGAGGCAGCAGUGGGGAAUAUUGCGCAAUGGGCGAAAGCCUGACGCAGCGACGCCGCGUGGGUGAUGAAGGCCUUCGGGUCGUAAAACCCUGUCGGGUGGAACGAAUCUCCUUUUCUCUAAUACAGGAGAGGAUUGACGGUACCACCGAAGGAAGCCCCGGCUAACUACGUGCCAGCAGCCGCGGUAAUACGUAGGGGGCGAGCGUUGUUCGGAUUUACUGGGCGUAAAGAGCGCGUAGGUGGUUCGAUGAGUCGGAUGUGAAAUCCCUCGGCUCAACCGAGGACCCGCGUCCGAUACUGUCGAACUUGAGUGCAGGAGAGGAGAGCGGAAUUCCCAGUGUAGCGGUGAAAUGCGUAGAUACUGGGAGGAACACCGGUGGCGAAGGCGGCUCUCUGGACUGUCACUGACGCUGAGGUGCGAAAGCUAGGGGAGCAAACGGGAUUAGAUACCCCGGUAGUCCUAGCCGUAAACGAUGGGCACUAGGUGUGGGAGGUAU
rnacentral:rRNA from 1 species